GAUGAAGAACGUAGUGAAAUGCGAUAAGUAGUGUGAAUUGCAGAAUUCAGUGAAUCAUCGAAUCUUUGAACGCACAUUGCGCCCCUUGGUAUUCCAUGGGGCAUGCCUGUUCGAGCGUCAUUUGUACCUUCAAGCUUUGCUUGGUGUUGGGUGUUUGUCUCGCCUUUGCGUGUAGACUCGCCUUAAAAUAAUUGGCAGCCGGCGUAUUGAUUUCGGAGCGCAGUACAUCUCGCGCUUUGCACUCAUAACGACAGCGUCCAAAAGUACAUUUUACACUCUUGACCUCGGAUCAGGUAGGGAUACCCGAUGAACUUAAGCAUAUCAAUAAGCGGAGGA
rnacentral:misc_RNA from 1 species